AAAGGUGAAAUUAAGUUAUUCUUAUUAAUUACAUUACUUGAGUUGAAGCUGAGGAUUAUUAGAGAUAAACUAGGAUUAGAUACCCUAUUAUACUAAUAAAUAUUAAUAAACCUGAAUUAUUAAUAGAUAUUGUCUUUAAAUUUGAAGAAUUUGGCGGUGAUUUAAUCUUGUUAGAGGAAUCUGUUUUUGAAUCGAUACACCACGUUAAAUUUCACUCAGGUCUAUAUACCGUCAUUAACAGAUAAUUUUAAAAGAAAUUGAAUUAUUAAGGUUUAUUUAUAAAUAAAUUAAAUUAGAUCAAGGUGUAGCUUAUAAAUGAGUUAAAAUGGAUUACAAUAAAAUAUAUUUAUUACGGAAUAGAAGCUAUAAAGGAGGAUUUAAUUGUAUUGAGGUUUAAUAAGCCUGUAAGACAUAAGCACUAAAUCAUGUACAUAUCGCCCGUCGCUCUC
rnacentral:rRNA from 1 species